AUGAAACUGCAUUUGGAGGAAACUAAUGCAGAAUCACUAGUAGUAAGUUUCAUGUUUGACAUGUAUUUCAUGUGCAAUAGGUUGUGCCAUAAAGUGAAAGAAAAUAAAGUUGCCUUUAGGAUUAGUCAUCUGAUUAGUUUUAUUGUGGUAAAGUGUAGUUUUUUUUAAAAUUACUUUUGCUAGAAUUGCUAUGAAUAUUUCAAAAAAUGUUAAUUUGCAUAAAAAGCAAAGCAUAUUCAGAUGGGAAACUUCAACUUUUGUCGAAGUCUGUGAGGACUUAAACUGUACUGGAGUUAAAUUUUUAAAGACUUCCUGAAUAUUCUUUCAUUGGUAACUGUUUUCCUGCUUAUAUGUGAACAGAAUCCACAGUCGUAAAAUGCAAAUGUUACUGGGACUGUCCACAAAGCUGCUAAGACACUAAAAACAUUAGAGUAGUGUCUCCAACAAUAUCUUGAAAAGCUGCAGUUUGCUUCCAGUGAUACUGAAAUGUCAAUGAGGGAGGCACGUGCUGCUUCGUGUUCAUGUGUCUCAGGCACUCAGUCUCAUCUCUUUCAAACAGUUGUACUAUGAGAAGACAAAGAAAACAAUUUACAGUACAACAGAAAGCUGAAGCACCUAGUUUAGCUACCUGGAGAUAUUAUGAAGACUCCAGAGAUUACAGGUGAGAAAUCUUACAAGAAGGUUAGAUUUUCAUUUUCCUUGUAAUGAAUUCAACAUUUUAAGCUAAUUGUUUCUCCACUACAGUAAAUUCAACAGGACAGGAUAUUCCAGAAGCAGAACUUAAUCUGACGGUUGUAGAGAUGUUCUAGAGAGUCCUUGUUCAUCUUUGUUAGAAAGAAGUCUUGAAAUCUCAGACACAUUGUGAAUCAUAUGCUUCAGGGAAAAACAAACAAACAAAAAAAAACCACAGCACUGUUGUCUCCUCUCCUGUGAGCUUGUUUCCAUCCUUUCUCAUUUGUUAGCUCUUCUUUCUCCUUCAUCUUGCAAUUGGCUUCAAAUAAUCCCUGCUAGUAAUGCUUCUCCAUGACCUGUCUUCUGGUUUUACCAGUCCCAUGUCAGGAACUGUUUGGUAGAUGUCUUCACAGCUUUUGCAAGAGGUGAAAAAUAGAGGCUUUGAGUAAGAAAUCUAUGAAUAUCAUAUACGUAUGUAUAUAUAUGUAUGCAUAUGUAUGAUACAAUAUAUAUUCUGGAUAUAAUAUGUAUAUAUUUGUGAAUAUUGUAAUCAAUUACCUACUUCAGUAAACUCCUGAAAUGGUUUCUUUUGAGUUAACUAGUGAAAGCCUGUGAAGCAAGAGGAAGUAUUAUAAUUAAGAUUACUUUAUUUGCUCAUUUGUAAAUCGUUCACUACUCACUGUAAUCCAGCAGGAUUUACCACCGUUUCAAAAGAAUUCCUUUUCCACCUCUAAACUGUUUUAAUUCUUUGGGAUUCACUAAAGUAGGCCUCAUUAAUUUAAAUUGCACUCUUUUUUUAGCAUUUAGAACAGGGUACCUGUUGCCAAAUCACUCUGUUAGAAGCUGUUUACUGAGGAUAUAUAAAAUGCACCAUUGCUGAAGCUAAUAUGAUUUAUAAUUUGCUUUUAUGGCUUUAAUUAUAUUUUUCCCCCACAUUACAUGUUGGGACUGUGGUGGCCUUUUACAAGUGGUUUAAACAAAAGGAAGGAAGCUAAAGUAAAAAGGGACAAUAGCUGCCCUUUUGGAGUAGCAGCUAGAGGCCAGGUGGCAUAGCCAAAGUGUCUAAAAUAACUCAGGCUUGUGUGUAAAUGACUGACUCUCAUCACUGAGUAAGCAUGGAGAGAAACAUUGUAUUAGCUUUUGGCUUACUGUUUUUUAUUUCCCUAGAGAAUGAGCAUGAAUGAUUUUUGAAUGAACUUUAAUUGAAUGUUUGGCUUUCUUUUUUGAAGGUACCUUUUGUGCUAUCACUACAGUGUAUGAUAUAAAAAAUACUAUCUUCCUUAGGCUUGGAGACUUGUUUCUAACACCACCAGAUGUGUAUGUCCCGGAGACAGAGGUAUGUGUGGUACACACAACCCUUAGAACUGCUGCGUUCCUGGCAGAGAGCUGCUUCAUGCACAGGUCAGGAAUCAGCAUGCAAGCCACUUUCAGAAUGAGAAGCAAGGAUUUGCUGAAGAAUGGCUCAAUUUGAUUAAUUUUCCAAUAGAUUUCAAAUCACUUACAGCAGUGAAAUGAAGUUCAAUGAAAUAGAUACAGCAGGAAAGAUACACUUUAAUCUUCACUUUUGAUUAAAUCUGACUCAAUCUUCAGCAUCAACUCCUGUUAUCUAUAAUUUGGAAACUUAGAUUAUGAAUCAAAGAGAAGGAAAGUCCUG
ensembl:lncRNA